CGCUGCAGGACUGUGAUAUUGGACAGUGCAGUCUCGUUUGAACCCCUGCGUGAUAUUGCGGGAUUUGACCACAUCUGUGAACAGCCUGCACAAACA